rnacentral:rRNA from 1 species
UACGUAGGGUGCGAGCGUUAAUCGGAAUUACUGGGCGUAAAGCGUGCGCAGGCGGUUCGUGAUGUCUGGUGUGAAAGCCCCGGGCUUAACCUGGGAAUUGCAUUGGAAACUAGCGGGCUGGAGGGUGGGAGAGGGAUGUGGAAUUCCGGGUGUAGUGGUGAAAUGCGUAGAGAUCCGGAGGAACCCCAGAGGCGAAGGCGGCAUCCUGGCCCACGACUGACACUCAGACACGACAGCAUGGGGAGCGAACGGG